rnacentral:rRNA from 1 species
AUUGAACGCUGGCGGCAGGCCUAACACAUGCAAGUCGAACGAGUGGCGGACGGGUGAGUAAUGUCUGGGAAACUGCCCGAUGGAGGGGGAUAACUACUGGCAACGGUAGCUAAUACCGCAUACAAUCGGAUGUGCCCAGAUGGGAGUAGCUAGUAGGUGGGGUAACGGCUCACCUAGGCGACGAUCCCUAGCUGGUCUGAGAGGAUGAACAGCCACACUGGACCGGAGACACGGCCCAGAAUCCUACGGGAGGCAGCAGUGGGGAAUAUUCCACAAUGGGCGAAAGGCAGAUGCAGCCAUGCGGCGUGGAUGAGGAGGGCCUUCAGGUUAUAAAGUACUUUCAGCGAGGAGGCGUUACUCGCAGGAGAAGCACCGGCUAACUCCGUGCCAGCAGCCGCGGUAAUUC